ACUUAUAUCUGUUUCUGCUUUCUUCAUAGGUUCUAGUAUUGUAUAUUUAAAAAAAAAACUGACACAAGAGGAGAUCGAUCACACUGGACCUCGACCUUUCCUGGAACAUGAUGCCAUCCCAUUUUCAGUCUGCAGCAGGAGUCAAGUAAAAGAGACUUCCAGUGAGGUAAACUAAAACAAUAAAACAAACUGAAAAAAAUGAUUGCAGGGAAGUUCUUUACAGAUUAAACUUU
rnacentral:lncRNA from 1 species